rnacentral:rRNA from 1 species
UACGUAGGUGGCAAGCGUUAUCCGGAAUUACUGGGUGUAAAGGGAGCGCAGGCGGGGUAGCAAGUCAGCGGUGAAAAUUAUGGGCUUAACCCAUAAACUGCCGUUGAAACUGUUACUCUUGAGUGGAGUAGAGGCAGGCGGAAUUCCGAGUGUAGCGGUGAAAUGCGUAGAUAUUCGGAGGAACACCAGUGGCGAAGGCGGCCUGCUGGGCUCUAACUGACGCUGAGGCUCGAAAGUGUGGGGAGCAAAC